CUACGUGCCAGCAGCCGCGGUAAUACGGAAGGUCCAGGCGUUAUCCGGAUUUAUUGGGUUUAAAGGGAGCGUAGGCGGAUUGUUAAGUCAGCGGUUAAAGGGUGUGGCUCAACCAUACAUUGCCGUUGAAACUGGCGAUCUUGAGUGCAGACAGGGAUGCCGGAAUUCGUGGUGUAGCGGUGAAAUGCUUAGAUAUCACGAAGAACUCCGAUCGCGAAGGCAGGUGUCCGGGCUGCAACUGACGCUGAGGCUCGAAAGUGUGGGUAUCAAACAGGAUUAGAUACCCUGGUAGUCCACACAGUAAACGAUGUAUACUCGCGGUUUGCGAUAGACAGUAAGCCGCCAAGCGAAAGCAUUAAGUAUACCACCUGGGGAGUACGCCGGCAACGGUGAAACUCAAAGGAAUUGACGGGGGCCCGCACAAGCGGAGGAACAUGUGGUUUAAUUCGAUGAUACGCGAGGAACCUUACCCGGGCUUGAACUAACGGUGACGAAUCUAGAGAUAG
rnacentral:rRNA from 1 species